CACCCCUCAAAAAUUUUCAGCCGCCACUCUCUUCCUCCUCCCACGCGCAGCAGCAUGGCACCCUUUCUUCCUCCCUGCUCCACGGCAGCAGGCAUGGGGCUUGGCUUCUCUCUCCCAUGGUGAGCAGGCCCUCUCCUUCCCCAUGGGCGCGCCCCCUUCAGGCUUGGCUGCAGGGACAGCGCCCUCCUUUCCCUCUGCUGUCCAGGCGCGGACGCCCCUUUCCCAUGGCCGAGCUCAAGCUGCCGGGACCCGACGCGGCGCCCCUCUGUUGCAGGUCGAGCGUCCUCCUUGCUCCUCCUCCUAGCGAGCGGCUGCAGCAGGGAGCCUUUCUCCCCUACGCGCUGGAGCUCCUUGGGCCGACCUCGGCGAGGUCCAUGUCCAUGGCGACGCAGCAGCUCCAUUCCUCCAUGGCCAUGGCGCCCCCUCCCUCCUCUUCCCUGCCGCGGCGAGGAAACGCCGGAACUCGUGCCCUCUCUCUGGUUUGGGUGGAGCAGCGCCUUCCCCUGCUAUCUCCUCCCCGACGCCCGUUGGAGAUGGCACCCAAUAGCCCCGGCACCUUCCUUUGCUUCGUCUCGCUGCCACCGCUGCGCACGUGCCAAGUGUUCGACAAAAUGUCGAGGGAGACGUGUUGUUGCAGCACUGUCGGCGCUCACCGGUUGGUUGCUGUUUUUGCGCAGCCCCAACAUCAUCGUCGAUCACCACCAGAGUGGAACCCCGUGUUUUGCGAGGAGAAGGCAAGCCGCUCAACGCUCGUCGGACGUGCGGGGCUAUGCACAAAUCGGAAUCGCCAUCGUUCUUACAAACACCGAUUGGGUUUGUUUUUGGUGAGCCGGUGCAUGUCGCUCUCGAUUGACUCGAUUAAUAAAUUAUAUAGAUGUGUGUAAAAUGUUUCGGUAUUACGCAUUGGUAGGAUCACAUUUGUGAUUGGAGAACAAGAGGUUGUUUGAUGUGUGCGAUUUGUAGUUUGUAUAAUUAUGUUUUGGUCGAUGUGGUGUACAUUGGUGUUUGAAUAUAUGUGGGU
rnacentral:misc_RNA from 1 species